UCUAGACAGGAAGCCAUCGAAGAGAACUCUGAUAGGGAUCACAGUUGAUGGCUCCUGGUGGUGUAGGGAUGAAGAAGGGACUCGGUUUUCUUUAAGGGGAGGACUGCUUGGAGUUUGGCCACGCUCCAUUCCACCAACUGGGAACCGAUUAAGAGUGGAAGCCAUUCUCAUUCAAACCAGUGAUGUAGUGUACAACGAGAAACAGAAACAAGAGUUGAUCCCUGGGGAAGAAACAGACUAUAGAACAGCCAGAAAACCAGGAGAGUGGUUAUGGUGACAGAAGAGAGAGUGGACAGAAGAAUGCUAGUUAACAUCACCGGGAGCUUCAAAUUAACCAGACUAGCUGUAUGUAGAGUGCUGUUCUAGCACAAUGCAAACCAAUGGCACCAUACUAUAGCUCCCAGGCAGCCACGCCAUCACCAAGGCAGCUUUUCUGCAAUGAGAGUACAUUGCUUAUUUGAAAACAUAGAUGUGUCCUUGGCAAUAAGUCAUCAUGGAUGUUUUAACAUUAGUGGUCUCUACCCCUGUCAUUGAGGAGUUCUGAUUUGCUGUUCUUCAAAUCCACCCACAGCUUUAUCCCUGAGAAAAUGGCAACAAUCCAGCAGAAACCAAAAACGUGUACCUAAAGGAAUGAAAAGGGUUUUAUUUCACUUAUUUUGGGUGGGAUUUUUGGGGGGCGGGGGUUCUGCCUGGGUGUGUGUUGUUCAGAGAGGAAGUAUAUGUCAAUAGAAAAGAAUGUAAUUCUUUGCAGGGAAAUAGAUGGCCAGUGGACAAAAAGAGAAACGCUAGUGCAUGCUUCUUGAAGUUUCUUCACGCUCAGACGAGCUCUCCUCCCUAGUUGGAGGAAUCAGUCAACCACUCACCCACACAAACUUCAGUGUCUGGAGAGUAGGAAUAUGGUGUCUUCCCAGUGAUUAUGAGGUGCCAGUGUGUUUUGAGAUAUGACCUAUGAAACUGACUUUGUUUUUUGGAAAAGUUGACACCUCUUUGGGCUUCAGUUUCUCAACUGUAAAAUCCUAUCCAUCUGCCAACCCUGAGGAAAAGUCCACUGAUGGAGGGAUUAUGUUUGUCCCAUUUUUGU